UUAUAAAGUUUUGUUCAUCUUUGAUGGUCUGGAUGAGUGUCGACUUCCUCUAGAUUUUCAAAAUAAUGAGCGAUUGUGUAACAUUACAAAAUCAGUAAAAAUGGACAUGCUCCUCUCCAGAAAAGUCCAUCAAUCUGUUCCACUGUCUGAUGACUCUCUAGUGCAGGACGUCCAAACAUACCUGAACAGACGGGAUUACCAGUGUCUUGGUGGACAACGUCUCUCUCCUGCUCAGUGGUCGGCGCUGGUGUUUGUGUUGCUGAACUCGGGCCAGGAGCUGGAUGAGUUUGAUUUGGAAAAAAUAUUAUCGAACACAUGAAGGUCUUCUGAAGCUGCUGCCAGUAUUAAAAGCUUCUAGAAGAGCUGAGUUGAAUGAUUGUUCUCUAACAGAGGAAAGUUGUGAAGUUCUGUCCUCAGUUCUCAGUUUAAACUCCUCCAGUCUGAAACAUCUGAACCUGAAUAACAAUAAACUGAAGUAUUCAGGAGUGAAGCUGCUCUCUGCUGGACUGGAGAAUCCACACUGUAAACUGGAGAAACUGGAGUUGGUUAAUUGUGAUCUAACAGAGGAAAGUUGUGAAGUUCUGUCCUCAGUUCUCAGUUUAAACUCCUCCAGUCUGAAACAUCUAGACCUGGGUUACAAUAAACUGAAGGAUUCAGGAGUGAAGCUGCUCUCUGCUGCACUGGAGAGUCCACACUGUACACUGGAGAUAUUGAGGUUGUGGGAUUGUGAUCUAACAGAGGAAAGUUGUGAAGUUCUGUCCUCAGUUCUCAGUUUAACCUCCUCCAGUCUGAAACAUCUGAUCCUGGGUAACAAUAAACUGAAGGAUUCAGGAGUGAAGCUGCUCUCUGCUGGACUGGAGAAUCCACACUGUACACUGGAGAUACUGUGAUUGAGAAGCUGCAGUAUUACAGAUGAAGGUUUUACUGCUCUGGCUUCAGCUCUAAAAUCAAAUCCGUCAUCACGUCUGAGAGAACUGCAACUGAUUGACAAUCGUCCAGGAAAAUCAGGAGUAAAACUGCUCAAAGAUCUACAGGUGGAUCCACAAUGUUACCUGAAGGAGCUACAUUCCAAUCUCAGCUCUGUUACCGGUCGGAUGGACGCCCCCUAGCAGGCACAAUUGGCAGUUAGUCUGCGGGGAAAAGACGGGACUAAAAAGUGGGCAGGGUCCUCAAGGCUGUGUAAGUACCCUGGUUAGUAGGCUGAAGCGCCUGUACAGAAGUGGAGGAACGUGGAGAUCAGCGUGUGACUCUCCAUGACCGACCUCACGCACCGAUCCACCGAAGCACAGGCGAAUAUGAAGGGGUCGGUGGAGCGUGCACGCAUCAGAUGGAGGGCGUACACCAUCAGGGUUUCCAGCAGAGGAAGAGGAACUGGCUACGUCUAAAAUGGGGAAAAAACUGCAUGUUCUAUCAUCGUUCCACCUGCUUCAGAGCGGUGACUUCUGUUCUGGACUUUAAGCUCUGGCCUGUUCAAGAUCAACAGUCUUAACCCCACUCUGACGUUGGUCAAAGGUGGAAGACAUGGAUCCACAAACAUGGAGGUGUGACCUUCUGGGGCCGUUUAGCUUCCACACAUCCUGGAUGAAUUAUAUUUCAUGAAACCAUGAAUGAAUUCUGCUUGCUCUUUAAAAAUCCUGAAGAAGGAUAUCCGCCCAUCAGUUCUUGACUUGCCAAAGUGAACACAAGCAAGUCCACCGUUGAACAGCUCAACAGAAACAAAAUUUGGUUCUGGAGAGGAGAGUCCUGAAUCCCAUUAAAGUGCUAGUAAUAUGCUAUUUCGUACAAUAAAUCCUCAGUUAUAGCGUGUUAUAUUGAGAAUAUCAACAUUUCCAUCAAUUCUGUUGGUACAUUGGUUA